CCCAGACUCCUACGGGAGGCAGCAGUGGGGAAUAUUGCACAAUGGGGGGAACCCUGAUGCAGCGACGCCGCGUGAGUGAAGAAGUAUCUCGGUACGUAAAGCUCUAUCAGCAGGGAAGAAAAUGACGGUACCUGACUAAGAAGCCCCGGCUAACUACGUGCCAGCAGCCGCGGUAAUACGUAGGGGGCAAGCGUUAUCCGGAUUUACUGGGUGUAAAGGGGGCGCAGACGGCGAUGCAAGCCAGGAGUGAAAGCCCGGGGCCCAACCCCGGGACUGCUCUGGAAACUGCGUCGCUGGAGUACGGGAGGGGCAGGCGGAAUUCCUGGUGUAGCGGUGAAAUGCGUAGAUAUCAGGAGGAACACCGGCGGCGAAGGCGGCCUGCUGGACCGUGACUGACGUUGAGGCUCGAGAGCGUGGGGAGCAAACAGGAUUAGAUACCCCAGUAA
rnacentral:rRNA from 1 species